UACGGAAAGCCGGAGAGCCAAACCACCCCAAAGCCUAAUUGCACUCCGCGCCCGGCAGGGCGAGUUUGCAGGCUUGCGGUAAGGAGCCUGCAGGAUGCACCUCGGUAGGUAGCGGGGAGUGGUGCCUUAGGCUCCCGGUGUGUUUCGGUCUUCAUAGUCUUGCUUCAAACAGGCAUGAGUGGGUGGAGGGGUGAGGGAUGUCUAUGGGAUACGUUAGGCGUGAUACGAUGGACGGAUAGUGUUGAAAGCGUUUCUCUCACCCCAGGGAAGUGACCAGUCUCGCUUACAUUCCCCAGCUUUUAUCUGUACUUUAGUGGCCCAACUGGACAGUUAAAUAAACAAACAUAAAAGGUAUUGUACAGAAUGUUAAAAGGCUUUUGAGUCAGUUUAUUGAAUCUAGAGCGAGUUAUCCCUUGAAGUCUCACUUUUCUCAUCUGUAAAAUAGGACUGUUGUGAGGAUUGAAUGAGAUGACAGUGUUUGUUAAGUGGUGCUUGGCACAGCAUCCCGUAUGGUCAAGAUUAUCAUUAUCUUUAUUACUGUUUGAGAACUAAAAAUUAAAUCCUAAGCCCCACAACCGACUGAACGGACCCCCUUUUGGCCAAGAGGACCCCCGAUAAACCUUAAAAGCUGAAUUCCUCGCCCUGACGGGACGGAAGGACGGACACGCCUCGCUAUACCCCCCUACCUCCUCCCUUUUCACGUCCCCCUCACCCCUGGUUUUUUGAGACAGGGUCUCACUGUGUCCCCCAGGCUGGAGUGCAGUGGCAGGAUCGUAGCUCUGCAACCUCCAACCUCUGGCUCAAACGAUCCUCCCGCUUCAGCCUCGGGAAUAGCUGGGAGUACAGGUGCACAUGCCACCAAGCUCGGCUCCCCCUCCCUUUGAGGGCUUAGACUCAACAACUGACCAGCAUUAAUGUUAAAAUGGAGAUCAGAAGGCUAACAGAAUGGACUCUGUGGCAAUAACAAAUUAUAAGCAAGACCUAAGGCCAUGCCAGGCAAGAGUUAAGUCACUCACACCUACACUUAAAGAAUAACCUUUGUUUUAACUGCUGCAAUGUUUUUAUUUUUCUCUAGCUGUUAAAUAAGAACUGCCCUCGACAUAAGCAAUAUUGAAAUAAUUGCAGCUCAUCCAUGGCCAGAUGUUGACUAACAAGACCCUCCUGUUCCACAAGUCAUAACUGCAGUCCAAGUAAACCACAUCGAAAGGAGACUGAAACUACUUGGAUGAAUACAAUGGAAUCCUGUGGAAUGGCACCCCAAACCAAGAUGGUGGCAGAGAGCUGACAAUUGGAUUAUUUGCAUAUCCUUUGUGUGGUCAUCCUAGCAUCUCAGGAUCAGGAAAGAUGAAGAGGAGGGAGGGGAAAGGAAAAAUUUCCACUUAAAGUAGAGCUUGCCUAGGAGACAUCAACUGACUCUUGUAUUUUAACAGCACAGGCUGAAGCUGAUAAGGGUCUUUAAGCCUCAGUAACCUUAGACAGGCACCUUCCUCACUGGACCUAACUGAAGAGACUUUCCUGACUAGUGAACAAUGGGAUAUUUAUUUUAUUUAACCAAUGGUGUAGAGACCUAUAUAUUCAUUCUGCCCCAUAUCCAGAGUGCCAGUUUCCAAUGCUUAAUUAGCAUAAGCCCCAUAAGCUCCCCACUUCUAACAUUUAAAAACCCCUGACUUUCCCUCCUCAGUGAAAUUCUUCAUGGAGUAAGUUCUCUUGCUUGGCAAGUUAAUAGACUCAGCUUUGUAAUUUUUUUUUUCUAGCUCUAACGGUAUUUGUUUUACUCAUGGACAGGUGAGAAGGACAAGGGUAGAGGAGUCUUCAAACACCCCACAGCCAGCCAUCUUGGGUGAAUUACUGCAGUUUUCGAAAGGUGCCAGCAGGUUUCCUCCCGCAUAACAUUUGCAUUAUGUUGUACAUGCCACCGUCUUCAGAUGGCUAAUCCCUAUGAAAUUCAGUUAACAUGACAUUUUCUAGGAAACCUUUACAUCCUUUGCUGUGUUGGGUGCAACCUUGUCUGUCAUUCCGUUUUUGUACUCAUCACAUACUUAAUGGUAUCAACUGGUUCAGCAAUUGGACCCCUUCCUACUGUACUGAGAUUCUUGAGAGUCACUUUGAUAUGCACCCCAGACCCUCAGCAUACUGUCUAGAGCAGUAGUUUUCAAAACCUAAUGUGUAUCAGAAUCGUCUGGAGAAAUAGUUAAAACAGAAUCUCAAGCCCUACCUGCAGAGUCUCUGCUUCAGUAAGUCUGGGUGAGGCCCAAGGAUAUGUGCUUUUAACCAGUUCCCAAACAAUGUUGAUGCUAUUGGUCUGGAGAACAUACUUUGGGACUUCCUGGUCCAUAUCAUACUAGUCACUCAAAAAAUGUUCAUUAAAAGAUUUCAAGGAUUAUAAAUUACUUUUUAUUUUGAUUUGAAGCCAAAUUAAAGCAUUUUGUAAGUUAUCCAAAGUAAGGUAAAUACUCCAGGUCCUUGCUACUCAAAAUGGGGUCCUUGGGCUACUUGCACUGGCAUUACUAGGGACUCUGUUAGGAAUGGAGACUCUCUUGCCGCCUGGUGGACCUACUGACUCAGAAUCUCCAUUCUGAGAUUCUGAUCUCUCAAGAUCCUCAGCCUCACAUCAAAAUUUGAGAAGCACUGCUCAUGUGUGUGAGUGUGUGUGUGUGUGUGUGUAUGUUUAUGUGUGUUGUCAUUAUUAUUGCUUUGGAGUAGUUUUAACAGCAUCCAUAAAACUGGUUUUCACUAAUUAUUCCAUUCGUGGAUUUUCCAAGUCCUUUGUUCCCAAAUAAUAGUGGGUUUACUUUUCUUCUUGGUAAGUGCACAAAGAUUAAGCUUCAUAAAAGCUUUAACUUUAUAUUUGGUAUGUUGACUUAAUUUUAAUCAUUAUUUAGUGAUUCUUCUGUUAUGACACAAAAACACAGAAGGGUGAAAGGGUGAAAUGACUACUGAAGGAGUAAAUUAUUUCAGCAAAAAGAUAAAUAGCAGAGAAACAUGGGAAAUGAGUUAUACCUACAGAAUAGAAAUGCUUGAAUGUGGUAACAAUUCUACAGAAUUUAAUAUCUCUGUUAAGUUACAAAUUGCAAUUUCUUAGUAGCACCUGUAGACUUAAAGAUUAACUAGUAGUUUUA
rnacentral:lncRNA from 1 species